CGUCCAGCCAAACUGAGCAAUCGUGGGAGGUGUCAUCAUCAGCCAAUCCAGGACCUCUGAGAGAUUCUCUGAAGGAAUUAAAUAAACAGAUGUCCUUCAGCAGUGACACACCAUUGGUGAUGAUGAAGCUGGCACGGCUCAUCUUGGUGGAGGAGUGGAUCAGAGCCUCCACAGCAACCAUCUGGUCCACCUCCCGUUCAGAGGCACAUAACGCCACCAUCAUCUCCAUUAUACCCUGAUGUCCAACCAGAGCAUUGCCCACGUCAAAGGGACCCUGAAGCAGGCCCGAGAUGGUAUUGAUUGCAUGAAUGGUGUUGUCCAUAUUAUUGGGGUCAAUCUUGGAUCUAAAGAAAGGAGAGCAAUGAAAGGAAAAAGAAAAAAACAUGGGUUAUGUUGGCUAGGUCAUCAUUUAGAGACAUUUAAACCAUGCUCAAGAGUGGAUUUUCGUGUGUGUACUUUAUAUAUCCAUCACAGAUGUCCCUGAAGUUGUUUCUCUCUGGGUCACAUUUGAGGUCGUCAUAGAUCUUGGUGAGGAGCACGCUAGCAAUCAGCUGUGUGUUGUCUGUUAAGGGCAGCUGGUCUGGCAGUUCAGGAAUCUGACCACAUACCUUGAGGAUCUUCUUCAGACCUGGAGAACAAUCAAACAUAGGCAUAUGUAGAAAUCUCAUGUCAGGGAGUCUGGGAUGCAGCAUUGGACAGCAACUCCAGUAAAAUAAGAGACCUGUGGCUGUCUGCCUCACCGUUGUCAAUAGUGAAUAGGGUCCUGGAGUGGUCUACCUCUUUUUUGUUUUUGCGAGGUACAUUUUUGCUCAGGAGGUUCAGCGCCUGGUCUCUGCCAUGGCCAGACACCUUCUUACUGGCAACCAUCUCCAGCAGAGAUAGGAGAAUAGUUUUCAGGUCUUUCGAUGCAUCUGCAGAAGGAAAAUGAUAUGAAGAUUGUUUGUCCCUGUCAGGAGUGCUGUGGAAAAGUACAGCCAGAGCAUUUCUGUUUUCCUUUCUGUUACAGGUUGAUUGUUUCUCACCCAAAACCAAGGCCUCUUCUUUUCCAUAAUCCCUUUUAUCUCCACCAGUGAGGGAGUCAUUGAUGCACUGGAAUAGGUUGCAGGUUGCAAGUGCAAUCUCCUCAUUGUCAACAGCCAUGAUGCUGCACAUUUUAUCAACACCCACCAUGUUAACAAUGGCCAUGGCCUGUUAGGGGGGCGAGAGAAAAUAAAUGUUUGACUUAGUACAUUUGUGAUAAAACUUUUUUUUUUUUUUUUUUUACAAAUAUCAUUAAACCUUACUUCUAAUGGCAUCAUAUAGGUGAAGGUCGUACUUGUAGUAUAAAUAAGUAAAAGUAUACUCACCCGAGCUUUGUGUCCUGUGCACAUGCCUGACAGUGUGCGAACAGCAGCCAGGACCAUCUCUGAUUUUCCUGUCUCUAUCAUGGUGAGCAGCAGAGACACUCCGUUAUUCUGGAAGAUUCUUUCUGCUCCUGCAUCCUCUCUGGACAGCACAAUCAGGUUGUUUGCAGCCUAAAGGGAAAGGGACAGGAUGCAGAAGUGAAGACCAGAUAAACAAACAAAAACUUCAUAUACUUAAUGCAACAGUGUAUCUGCUUCAUGCCAGAGAAUUUACCCACUUUUUCCUUCUUAUCCUUGUCCAUUUCUUCAUCAAAGAGAAUGUCAAACAUGUUCUGAACCCUUGAAUCGGUGGAAAAUGUUGUCUUAAGCUGUGGAAAAUAAAAAUGAAACUAUUA